rnacentral:piRNA from 1 species
UGCCCCACGUGGUUAGAUUCUGUCUCAAC